CCCCUAGAUGUUCUGGGCCGCACGCGCGCUACACUGAACAGUUCAACAAGUCUUAACCUUGGCCGAUAGGUCUGGGUAAUCUUUGAACGCUGUUCGUGAUUGGGAUAGACCUUUGCAAUUAUGGGUCUUCAACGAGGAAUUCCUAGUAAACGCAAGUCAUCAGCUUGCAUUGAUUACGUCCCUGCCCUUUGUACACACCGCCCGUCGCACCUACCGAUUGAAUGGUCCGGUGAAGCGUUCGGACCGUGGCCUUUGGACGGCUCGCCGUCUGUUGGCUGCGGGAAGUUCGUUAAACCUUAUCAUUUAGAGGAAGGAGAAGUCGUAACA
rnacentral:rRNA from 1 species